rnacentral:rRNA from 1 species
UACGAAGGGUGCAAGCGUUACUCGGAAUUACUGGGCGUAAAGCGUGCGUAGGUGGUUCGUUAAGUCUGAUGUGAAAGCCCUGGGCUCAACCUGGGAAUGGCAUUGGAAACUGGCGACCUAGAGUGCGGUAGAGGGUAGUGGAAUUCCCGGUGUAGCAGUGAAAUGCGUAGAGAUCGGGAGGAACAUCUGUGGCGAAGGCGACUGCCUGGGCCAGCACUGACACUGAGGCACGAAAGCGUGGGGAGCAAACAGG